UGCCAGCAGCCGCGGUAAUACAGAGGUCCCAAGCGUUGUUCGGAUUCACUGGGCGUAAAGGGUGCGUAGGUGGCGAAGUAAGUCGGAUGUGAAAUCUCCGAGCUCAACUCGGAAAUGGCAUUGGAAACUGCUUUGCUCGAGGGUUGGAGGGGGGACUGGAAUACUUGGUGUAGCAGUGAAAUGCGUAGAUAUCAAGUGGAACACCAGUGGCGAAGGCGAGUCCCUGGACAACUCCUGACACUGAGGCACGAAAGCUAGGGGAGCAAACAGGAUUAGAUA
rnacentral:rRNA from 1 species